rnacentral:rRNA from 1 species
AGUGAACGCUGGCGGUGUGCUUAACACAUGCAAGUCGAACGGGAGCUAUGUAAUAGCUUGCUCUUUCGGGUGGCGAGUGUCGGACGGGUGAAGAAUACAUCGGACUUUAGUUUUUCGUCGGGGAUAACGUAGGGAAACUUACGCAAAUCCGGCAAACGCCCUACGGGUGAAAGAAGGGGAUCUCCGGAUCUUGAGGAAUUGGAUGGGCCGAUGUCGGAUCAGCUAGUUGGCGGGGUCAAGGCCGCCCAAGGCGCCGAUACGUAGCCGGGCUGAGAGGGUGAACGGCCACACUGGGACUGAGACACGGUCCAGACUCCUACGGGAGGCAGCAGUGGGGAAUAUUGCACAAUGGGGGAGACCCUGAUGCAGCGACGCCGCGUGAAGGCAGAAGUAUCUCGGUAUGUACACUUCUAUCAGCAGGGAAGAUAGUGACGGUACCUGACUAAGAAGCCCCGGCUAACUACGUG